UCAGCCACCCUACACCUAUUCAAGCAGCCCAAAAUUCAGGCUUGUUGCCAUGCUUGGCAAGACAAUAAAAUGCCCCAAACUUAUCUGUCAAUUUAACUACUCCCAAUUCAAUCAAGACCUUUCCUUCACCACCCCACACAACUGAAAUAGAGAGCAACCAUUCCCCUCACUAAUCCAACAGCAACACACCUCAAAUUUCAGCAAACUCAAAUAAAAAAUUCUUGAAGAUCACACGAAGCUUUCAGCUUGAGGGCUUUCCCCACUAAACAUUCAAAGGCUUUGAGCGUCAGGAGGAUUAGCACUGCUAUUCCGAUUCAGAGAUAACGUUAAACGACAAGCAUUGCCUAUACAGGUUAAUGACUGGUGAUGACGGGGCAGAGCUGAGGCUAGAGUUCAACUCCUUAUUUUGACUUCCGCUGUAGAACUAGCCAGUAUCUGUCUUUUGUUCUUUAACUUAAGACCUAUUAUGUUGUGACUCUAAACAAUAUCUUUUGUUGAGCCUAGACCAUUGACUCUCAAGUAUUUCGAUCAGUGAAUGUUGGUUAUCUGAAGCAUGACACUAAACUUGUGAUCCUGAAGUUAUUAUGUUGUUGAAGGAUUUG